rnacentral:rRNA from 1 species
AACGAACGCCGGCGGCAGGCCUAACACAUGCAAGUCGAGCGCCUCGCAAGAGGAGCGGCAGACGGGUGAGUAACGCGUGGGAAACUACCCUUUGGUACGGAACAACUCGGCGAAAGCUGAGCUAAUACCGUAUGUGUCCUUCGGGAGAAAGAUUUAUCGCCAAAGGAUGUGCCCGCGUCGGAUUAGCUAGUUGGUGGGGUAACGGCCCACCAAGGCGACGAUCCGUAGCUGGUCUGAGAGGAUGAUCAGCCACACUGGGACUGAGACACGGCCCAGACUCCUACGGGAGGCAGCAGUGGGGAAUAUUGGACAAUGGGGGCAACCCUGAUCCAGCCAUGCCGCGUGAGUGAUGAAGGCCUUAGGGUUGUAAAGCUCUUUCGCCCGCGAAGAUAAUGACUGUAGCGGGAGAAGAAGCCCCGGCUAACUUCGUGCCAGCAGCCGCGGUAAGAC